rnacentral:rRNA from 1 species
UAAUUGAAGAGUUUGAUCAUGGCUCAGAUUGAACGCUGGCGGCAGGCCUAACACAUGCAAGUCGAGCGGUAACAGGGGAAGCUUGCUUCUCGCUGACGAGCGGCGGACGGGUGAGUAAUGUAUGGGGAUCUGCCCGAUAGAGGGGGAUAACCACUGGAAACGGUGGCUAAUACCGCAUAAUCUCUUAGGAGCAAAGCAGGGGAACUUCGGUCCUUGCGCUAUCGGAUGAACCCAUAUGGGAUUAGCUAGUAGGUGAGGUAAUGGCUCACCUAGGCGACGAUCCCUAGCUGGUCUGAGAGGAUGAUCAGCCACACUGGGACUGAGACACGGCCCAGACUCCUACGGGAGGCAGCAGUGGGGAAUAUUGCACAAUGGGCGCAAGCCUGAUGCAGCCAUGCCGCGUGUAUGAAGAAGGCCUUAGGGUUGUAAAGUACUUUCAGUCGGGAGGAAGGCGUUGAUGCUAAUAUCAUCAACGAUUGACGUUACCGACAGAAGAAGCACCGGCUAACUCCGUGCCAGCAGCCGCGGUAAUACGGAGGGUGCAA